GGCGAACGGCUGAGUAACACGUGGGCAACCUGCCCUUUGCACUGGGAUAGCCUCGGGAAACCGAGGUUAAUACCGGAUACUCCAUAUUUGUCGCAUGGCGAAUAUGGAAAGCUCCGGCGGCAAAGGAUGGGCCCGCGGCCUGUUAGCUAGUUGGUGGGGUAGUGGCCUACCAAGGCAAUGAUGGGUAGCCGGGUUGAGAGACCGACCGGCCAGAUUGGGACUGAGACACGGCCCAGACUCCUACGGGAGGCAGCAGCU
rnacentral:rRNA from 1 species